rnacentral:rRNA from 1 species
AUGAAGCAACCCAGCAAAUAUGGUUUCAUUAGUAAAACUGCAAAAGCGAUAAGCCCAUACAUAACAAAGGUCAAAGCCAGACAACAAACGGAUGGUUCCGGUAUGCAGACAGGCAAAACUUCGAUCCUCACUGAUGCUUUACAAACUUGUAUUUGUAUAAUUAUGCAGCCAAUUGUAUCAUACUCGGUUCAAAGAUAUCACCAAAGCCCAGUUCAUGAACAAAAGGAAAAGAAAAAGAACUCUGGUGAAAACUGGUCUGAUGGUGCAGAAGGUGAUGGUUGGUCGACAACAGCUUCAAGAAGUUCAUAA